rnacentral:tRNA from 1 species
GUAAUGGUAGUUCAGUGGGAGAAUUCUCACCUUCCAUGUGGGAGACCUGGGUUCAAUUCCCAACCAACGCA